CCAGUCUGGGUUGUCAUGGUAACGGGUCACCUCCACCAGUCUGGGUCUACAUGGUAACGGGUCACCUCCACCAGUCUGGGUCUACAUGGUAACGGGUUACCUCCACCAGUCUGGGUCUACAUGGUAACGGGUCACCUCCACCAGUCUGGGUCUACAUGGUAACGGGUCACCAGCCAGCUAUAGGAGACCAAACUUUAAUGUUUAUUUUUUUGUUUUUUUUGUUUACUGACGUUUGAAGAAAAACAAUGUUCUCUGUCGGUCGACGUGUCGACGGAAGUUAUUUACGAAACAGAAACAAUAGAGAUAAAUGUUUACGUGUAUUACGAUAGUUCGGAUUUCUGGAUGGAACAAGCACUUCCUCCAUGAACUGAACUGUCUGAUCUCUCAUGGAAGAGAUGAACAGGAAAUGAAAGAGAAAGUCAAUGUGGUCUGUACUCUUCCUCUCUUCUUCCACCAUACUCUUCCUCUCUUCUUCCACCAUACUCUUCCUCUCUUCUUCCACCAUACUCUUCCUCUCUUCUUCCACCAUACUCUUCCUCUCUUCUUCCACCAUACUCUUCCUCUCUUCUUCCACCAUACUCUUCCUCUCUUCUUCCACCAUACUCUCUCCGGAACACUGAUGCCUUUCUGUGGUGUUUGGGUACUAGUUAUAUACUUCAGUCCACAUUUAUAAGCCUUUACAGAUCAUAGCUCAACUACAUGCUAGCUGCGUCUGGACUCCACCUUCAGUCCAGGAGACAGGGGUUUAUUUACUGCUACGAGAAGAGCAAUAUGUUCUGAACCAGGGGUUCAGUUCAGGAGUCACAAAUAUUUUUCGAAUUGAAAAAGGUACUAAAUUAACUUGGCUAAUUAGAGAGCAAAUGUUUUCCAUUUCAAAAACGUUUUCCCAUUUGUGCUUUCUGAACGUAACCCAAACCCAGGGGUGUUCUCUGUUCCCUCUGUGGACACACAGUGUUGCAGGUAGAAAUAGCAUCUAUAGAUCACAUUUCACAAGGAAAAUAGAAUGUCUUCUCUAUAGAUGUAAUAUCUAUCUGUGACAUUGUUUCUCUGUUCCCUGUCUUCUCUCUGCCUCCCAAAAUGGCACUCUGGUCUAAAGUAGUGCACUACAUAGGGAAUAGGGCUCUGGUUAAAGGUUGUGCACUACAUAGGGACUAGGGUGCCAUUUGGGAUGUACCCCUGGACUAACUAACUCAGAGGUCCUGAACAGUAAAGUGAAUAAAACAUCACCAAUAUUAUUUUAAAAAAAAUUCUCCUCUAGAAAUGCUCAGAAUUUUAAGAGAAAAAAAAAUGUACUUUUUCUUUCAUGUCAAACUACCAGGAAGUCUGAAAAGACAGAGUGGGGCGAGGAGAUCACCUCGACUGACGGGUCCUUUGAAAACGGCGGUGUCAAACAACGUGGACGCGCUGAGCCGUGUUACAGUGAGAUUAUCUCAAGCAAAUUUGAUGAUACGCAAAGAAACUCAAAAUAACAUUGAAAUUACAGUAAAUAACUUUCAUUCCUUUCACACAUCACGGUUUCACAAAUAUAUAUAUAUAUAUUUUUGCUGUCAGCACCAUUUUUAUAAAGCUAUCUUGACCAAUUUGAUUUGAAACGACAGGGUGAAGUCUGGGUAAACUUCAUACAUUAUAUUUUUAACUGCCAGACAAUGGUCUUAUAUCAUGACUAUCAAUGAUGUCAAGAAGUUUGUAUGAAUCUCCUGUUUUGGCACGUCUGUUAAUGUAACGACAUGGCAUUACCAUUGGUGUAUUAAAAUAAGAUUUUUUUUUUUUUUGUGACAUUCUCCUGAGUCCAAGUGUUUGACCCGUGGGGGAGGGGUACCAUUUAACUUUAUGAUCAAACUUGAUCAAUGUACAAGCAACAGUCAUUUAUCAUACAUUGGUCUUCCUACUUUGAUCUGGUUUCAUCCAAAUAUCAUGAAAUGUCAUGAUUUUGACUGUUCAGGACCUUUAACAGAACAUGGUUUGGUGACAGGGUCUUGUUUGUACACUAUGUAAAUAAUACAAUUUUAUAUUUAUUUAUUUUAUUUAUUUAUCUACAUCUGAACAAUAACAAUACAAGUCAAGUGUACAUAUACGUGGAUCAACUUCCCGUCACAUGACUCUGUGAGAAUGAUGUCACUUCCUCUGUAACAGUGUCUUCUGGGUACUGUAGUACUUCACGUGUCACCACAGUAGCUACCUGGGAAAUGUGAUGCGUUCAGUUCGACGCCUCUCCUCAGUGCACCAGUGUGUUAGAAUUGGUUGUGUGUGAUACCUAAACCUCUGUUCAAAUACAGUUUAUUAAAAUCAAUGCUGUAAACACACAAAGCUGUUGACCUGCGUGUAUUGAACAGCUCUCCAUGUGUUUAUGCUAGAGGCUUAUCGUGUCAUGUCAUUGCUGCAGCUCAAUCCCCUCUUUCCGCCGAUAUGAAGUGUGUGCCUAUAACAUAACACGGGGGUUGUUUUUCUACACACGAGAGAAAAUCUUCGCAAAAUUGUCUGUAGAACAUGAACAAUUUGAUCUACAAAAAACGAAUACAUUUGA
rnacentral:lncRNA from 1 species